rnacentral:rRNA from 1 species
CUAUGCAUGCAAGUCGAACGAGCAGAGGGGCUUCGGCCCCCGAGCUAGUGGCAGACGGCUGAGUAACACGUAAGUGAUUUGCCCCGGAGAGGGGGAUAACCCGGAGAAGUCCGGCCUAAUACCCCGUACGCUCUCUUUACCACGGUUUAGAGAGGAAAAGUUCCGGCGCUCUGGGAGAAGCUUGCGGCCUAUCAUGGUAGUUGGUGGGGUAAAAGCCUACCAAGCCGAAGACGGGUAACCGGUGUGAGAGCACGAUCGGUCAGAGGGGGACUGAGACACGGCCCCCACUCCUACGGGAGGCAGCAGCAGGGAAUCUUGCGCAAUGGGCGAAAGCCUGACGCAGCGACACCGCGUGGGGGAUGAAGGCUCUCGAGUUGUAAACCCCUUUUCUCGGGGAAGAGACAGGACGGUACCCGGGGAAUAAGGUUCGGCUAACUACGUGCCAGCAGCCGCGGUAAUACGUAGGAACCGAGCGUUGUCCGGAUUUACUGGGCGUAAAGUGCGCGUAGGCGGUCCGUUAAGUCUCAUGUGAAAUCUCCCGGCUCAACUGGGAGGGGUCAUGGGAUACUGGCAGACUUGAGUACAACAGAGGGGAGUGGAAUUCCCGGAGUAGUGGUGGAAUGCGUAGAUACCGGGAGGAACACCAGAGGCGAAGGCGACUCCCUGGGCUGUGUCUGACGCUGAGGCGCGAAAGCGUGGGUAGCAAACCGGAUUAGAUACCCGGGUAGUCCACGCCCUAAACGAUGGAUACUAGGUAUGGGGGGUAUCGACCCCCUCCGUGCCGCAGCUAACGCAAUAAGUAUCCCGCCUGAGGAGUACGGCCGCAAGGCUAAAACUCAAAGGAAUUGACGGGGACCCGCACAAGCAGCGGAUCGUGUG